GUCUAGGUAGUAUAGUGGUUAGUAUGCUCGCUUGUGGUGUACACCAAUUCGCGAUUGACGUCAGUUCGAUUCUGGCCCUGGACA